rnacentral:tRNA from 1 species
GCGGGGAUGGCCCAGCCCGGUAAGGCGUAGGAUUGCUAAUCCUAUGGUCUCUGACCUCGGGAGUUCGAAUCUCCCUCCCCGCG